rnacentral:rRNA from 1 species
GACCUCACGCUAUCAGAUGAGCCUAGGUCGGAUUAGCUAGUUGGUGAGGUAAAGGCUCACCAAGGCGACGAUCCGUAACUGGUCUGAGAGGAUGAUCAGUCACACUGGAACUGAGACACGGUCCAGACUCCUACGGGAGGCAGCAGUGGGGAAUAUUGGACAAUGGGCGAAAGCCUGAUCCAGCCAUGCCGCGUGUGUGAAGAGGGUCUUCGGAUUGUAAAGCACUUUAAGUUGGGAGGAAGGGCAGUAAGUUAAUACCUUGCUGUUUUGACGUUACCAACAGAAUAAGCACCGGCUAACUUCGUGCCAGCAGCCGCGGUAAUACGAAGGGUGCAAGCGUUAAUCGGAAUUACUGGGCGUAAGGCGCGCGUAGGUGGUUCGUUAAGUUGGAUGUGAAAGCCCCGGGCUCAACCUGGGAACUGCAUCCAAAACUGGCGAGCUAGAGUAUGGCAGAGGGUGGUGGAAUUUCCUGUGUAGCGGUGAAAUGCGUAGAUAUAGGAAGGAACACCAGUNGNGNCGAAGGCGACCACCUGGGCUANUACUGACACNUGAGGUGCGAAAGCGUGGGGAGCAANCAGGAUUAGAUACCCUNGGUAGUCCACGCCGUAANCGAUGUCGACUAGCCGUUGGGAUCCUUNGAGAUCUUAGUGGCGCAGCCAACGCAUUAGNUNCGACCGCCUGGGNAGUACGGCCGCCCGGUUAAAANCUCAAAUGNAAUUGACGGGGGCCCCGCACNAAGCGUGUGGGACUA